rnacentral:rRNA from 1 species
AACGAACGCUGGCGGCAGGCCUAACACAUGCAAGUCGAGCGAAGCCUUCGGGCUUAGCGGCGGACGGGUGAGUAACGCGUGGGAACGUGCCCUUUGGUACGGAAUAGCCCCGGGAAACUGGGAGUAAUACCGUAUGUGGUCGAGAGACGAAAGAUUUAUCGCCAAAGGAUCGGCCCGCGUUGGAUUAGGUAGUUGGUGGGGUAAUGGCCUACCAAGCCGACGAUCCAUAGCUGGUUUGAGAGGAUGAUCAGCCACACUGGGACUGAGACACGGCCCAGACUCCUACGGGAGGCAGCAGUGGGGAAUCUUAGACAAUGGGGGAAACCCUGAUCUAGCCAUGCCGCGUGAUCGAUGAAGGCCUUAGGGUUGUAAAGAUCUUUCAGUGGGGAAGAUAAUGACUGUACCCACAGAAGAAGCCCCGGCUAACUCCGUGCCAGCCGCCGCCGCAGUAA